AGGGCAUAGUUUAAAGGUAAAACUGAAAGCUUCAGACUUUUUGAUCUCAGUUCGAAUCUGAGUGCUCUUGU
rnacentral:tRNA from 1 species